rnacentral:rRNA from 1 species
ACCCAAUAGAUACCCCGGUAGUCCACGCCCUAAACGAUGUAUGCUUGGUGUUGGCUCGUAUGAGUCAGUGCCGUAGGUAAACCUGAUAAGCAUACCACCUGGGGAGUACGCUCGCAAGGGUGAAACUCAAAGGAAUUGACGGGGGCCCGCACAAGCGGUGGAGCAUGUGGUUUAAUUCGAGGCUACGCGAAGAACCUUACCUGGGCUUGAACUGCCGGUAGUAGGACCCUGAAAGGGGAACGACCCGCAAGGGAGCCGGCGGAGGUGCUGCAUGGCCGUCGUCAGCUCGUGCCGUGAGGUGUUGGGUUAAGUCCCGCAACGAGCGCAACCCCUACCCUUAGUUGCCAUCAGGUUAUGCUGGGCACUCUAAGGGGACUGCCUACGCAAGUAGUGAGGAAGGUGGGGAUGAUGUCAAGUCAUCAUGGUCCUUACGUCCAGGGCUACACACGUGCUACAAUGAACGGUACAAUGGGCAAAACCGCAAGGUGGAGGCAAUCCCAAAAACCGUUCUCAGUACGGAUUGGAGUCUGCAACUCGACUCC